CCCUUAGAUGUCCUGGGCCGCACGCGCGCUACACUGAGUGUCUGAGAUACGAGUCUGCCUGGUCCGGCAAGGUCUAGGUAAUCGCUAAAAGACACAUCAUGCUUGGGAUUGAUUAUUGCAAUUAUUAAUCAUGAACGAGGAAUUCCUAGUAAACGCAUUUCAUCAAAAUGCAUUGAUUACGUCCCUGCCCUUUGUACACACCGCCCGUCGCACCUACCGAUUGAGUGGUCCGGUGAAGUCUCGAGAUUGUGGCAAUCUCCUUUAUUGGAGUUUGACUGCGAGAACUUGCCUAAACCUUAUCACUUAGAGGAAGGUGAAGUCGUAACA
rnacentral:rRNA from 1 species